rnacentral:rRNA from 1 species
UACGAAGGGGGGCUAGCGUUGUUCGGAUUUACUGGGCGUAAAGCGCACGUAGGCGGAUCGAUCAGUCAGGGGUGAAAUCCCAGGGCUCAACCCUGGAACUGCCUUUGAUACUGUCGAUCUGGAGUAUGGAAGAGGUGAGUGGAAUUCCGAGUGUAGAGGUGAAAUUCGUAGAUAUUCGGAGGAACACCAGUGGCGAAGGCGGCAUCCUGGACCAAUACUGACGCUGAGGAGCGAAAGCCAGGGGAGCAAACGGG